rnacentral:rRNA from 1 species
AACGAACGCUGGCGGCAUGCCUAACACAUGCCAGUCGAACGAGACCUUCGGGUCUAGUGGCGCACGGGUGCGUAACGCGUGGGAACCUGCACUUAGGUUCGGCAUAACUCCCCGAAAGGGGUGCUAAUACCGGAUAAUGUCUUCGGACCAAAGAUUUAUCGCCUUUGGAUGGGCCCGCGUUGGAUUCGCUAGUUGGUAGGGUAAAAGCCUACCAAGGCGACGAUCCAUAGCUGGUCUGAGAGGAUGAUCAGCCACACUGGGACUGAGACACGGCCCAGACUCCUACGGGAGGCAGCAGUGGGGAAUAGUGGACAAUGGGCGAAGUCCUGAUCCAGCAAUGCCGGGUGAGUGAUGAAGGCCUUAGGGUUGUAAAGCUCUUUUACCCGGGAUGAUAAUGACAGUACCGGGAGAAUAAGCUCCGGCUAACUCCGUG